rnacentral:rRNA from 1 species
UACAGAGGGUGCGAGCGUUAAUCGGAAUUACUGGGCGUAAAGCGUGCGUAGACGGUUACAUAAGUCGGGUGUGAAAGCCCCGGGCUCAACCUGGGAAUUGCAUUCGAUACUGCCGUGCUUGAGGACUGGAGAGGAGACUGGAAUUUACGGUGUAGCGGUGAAAUGCGUAGAUAUCGUAAGGAAGACCAGUGGCGAAGGCGGGUCUCUGGACAGUUCCUGACGCUGAGGCACGAAGGUCAGGGGAGCAAACGGG